CCGAGUUUACAACUCCCAAACCCAUGUGAAUCUUACCUUUACGUUCCCUCGGCGGCGUUCCCCUCGGGGUUCCCGCCAGAGGACCAAACAAACCCUUUGCAUUUAUUAGUAUUAUUCUGAGUGAUAUUAUCAAUAAAUCA
rnacentral:misc_RNA from 1 species